AGUGAACGCUGGCGGUAGGCCUAACACAUGCAAGUCGAACGGCAGCACAGGAGAGCUUGCUCUCUGGGUGGCGAGUGGCGGACGGGUGAGGAAUACAUCGGAAUCUACUCUGUCGUGGGGGAUAACGUAGGGAAACUUACGCUAAUACCGCAUACGACCUACGGGUGAAAGCAGGGGACCUUCGGGACCUGCGCGAAUGAAUGAGCCGAUGUCGGAUUAGCUAGUUGGCGGGGUAAAGGCCCACCAAGGCGACGAUCCGUAGCUGGUCUGAGAGGAUGAUCAGCCACACUGGAACUGAGACACGGUCCAGACUCCUACGGGAGGCAGCAGUGGGGAAUAUUGGACAAUGGGCGCAAGCCUGAUCCAGCCAUACCGCGUGGGUGAAGAAGGCCUUCGGGUUGUAAAGCCCUUUUGUUGGGAAAGAAAUCCAGCUGGCUAAUACCCGGUUGGGAUGACGGUACCCAAAGAAUAAGCACCGGCUAACUUCGUGCCAGCAGCCGCCGUAA
rnacentral:rRNA from 1 species